rnacentral:lncRNA from 1 species
UUGGUUAGGAGCUUAGACUCCUAAUUUUGCGGGAUUUCGAGGUUCUGCAAUCCUAGUUGCGAUUAAUCUGAUACUUGGGUCGAAACGAGUCCCAUUGCGGUAGUCCCAACUCCCGAGUUCACAUGCAAAAAGAAAAAAAAAGAUAAAGAUUAGAAACAUGACAAAUUUCAAAGAGAUAACCAAGGCAUAACUGCAAUAUGCUAUAUCUAUAUCUCAAUCCAGUGAUUCCUAAAAGGAUGCAAACAUUCAAACACAAAAAUAAAAUUCUUCUAAGAAGAGUUUAAUAUACAAAAGCUAGCCAAACACUUCUUUCCUAGGCCUAAUUACAUAUUUUCGAGUUUGAGGUAAACAACAACACCAUAAGCAUAACACGUCAGGGUAGUGUCCUCUUCAGAAAUGAAACAAGGUAGAGAAAUUUACAUCAAUACAAGGCUUUGGGUCAAAUCAUUUUUUAGUUAGAGUCCUAAUUGUAUUUAAAACUGAGGGAUUUCUUUGACACAUCCCAUGACAUAACUAGUUACCUGGUAAUCACUUUUAUACACACAUAUUGUUUUAAACCUGCUACGGGUCAUUUUGUUUAUGAACUAGGCAGCUUCUUAACUAAACAAAACUCCAACGUGUGUAUAAUAAGAGGAACAGAAGACACUCAAUUUGAAACACAUAGUCAACGUAGUAUAUAGUAAUUAAACUAUAGCUAAGGACUAGCAAAUUUCAUUCACUCGAACUAGGCAGAAUACAAAUAGAGAGGAGGUAACGCUUUGAUAUUCGGGUCAUUCCUAUAACCAACAACGAUUUGAUGAUGCCUCAAACUGUAUCAGCUCCAUAAUGUACAAGUAAAGGAAAGCGGAGGAGUGAGGUAAACCUUACAUAUUUUGACUUCAAACAACCACGUAGCGGGAGUAAUUAAAAAUCAAUAUGCGGUAAUGUGGACGAAUUCUUAAAGAGGAACAAUAGUAACAUCGCAACAGGAUAUGAUAUCAAUCACUACAUCGAUUCAAGAGCCCAUAACGAGUGCUAAGUUCAAACAAUAAAAGUAUUUCUGCUAGUUUUAAGUUAGGCUAGCAUAUUAGUAGCUUUUAUCAUUUACUAAUUUCCGAAUGGCGAUGAAUCUAGCAUGUAUAUGUGGACGUUCAUUUGUAAAAACUAUUAUUUAAAAUAACAUAAGAAAAUAGAGAGAAGAGAGUUGUUUACGAAAGAGGCUCAAGUGAUGCAUAAAAAAUCACUUUUGAAUUUGGAAAUAUGGUCAUGACAUCUCACUAAUCACCAAAGCAUUCGGGCAUUAACUUCUAAUAAACUUCUAGAAUUAGGGAUUUUGAAAACACCACGAGCUAUUUUCAUAUUUUUUUCCAACUCCAAAUCAGUCGCAAAACUCGAGAGAGCGAUUUCGAAAUUAUUUUACUAGCCUCACGGAAAAACACAACUCGAAUUUUCAAACGUCGUUUUUUAUUUUGAAAGCAAAAUUAUUAUUCUCACAAUUCUAAACCAAUCACCUUGUAAAGUUAAUGUCUCCCACUUCAGUUCAGAGCAAGCCUAAAAACUAAAUUUAAUCAUGCUCCAAACUAAGUUUUACUGGAAACAAACAGCGGUACCGAUACGGGCUCGAAGUCCCGACGAGUCCGUUUUCAACCACAACCACAUUAACUCAGUCAUAAUUCAUACACCCAGAUAAUUCUGAAUCAGCAAACGACAACAAUGAAAAUUACCAACUAUAUACUCAAAGAAAAAAAGGAUGAAAGAAAGACGGAGGCUAGACGAAGAGACAAAUCUUACUUUUUUGGGGGCAGCAAACUUGGGCUUUUUAUCGAGUAUUCCGGCCACCAAACCUUGAAUUUCAGAACUCAAUCAAACACCAAAAUUAAGAGAAGAAACCAACAACCCCUUUUGUGACUAUUCUAGGAAACUUUUGUGAAUGUAGUUUGAUUUUCCUUUAAUCUCCAACUUGUCCUUGAUGAUGGCAAUUUUGGGGCUAUUUAUAGUCAAAAUCCGGACUCCAAAGUCCUAAUUUGAAGCACAUUUUAUGGAGAUGAGAUUUGAAUUCAAAAUUAUGACAUCCAUCUGUGAAAAUUUCAGCUUCUAUCAAGCCUUAACUACGAAUCCUCAAAAAGUUUAAUUUUUGCACAAAGUAGGGACUGAUUUUCUCUGAUUUUUGGCGAUUUGCUUACUUGGGGUGAUAAAAAUGGAAGAUUCGUGUGGGCAGGUGGAAGACAGUGGUGAUGCAGUCUAAACCUAGGUCUCUGAUUUGAGUAUGGUGGAUAGAAGGGNNNNNNNNNNNNNNNNNNNNNNNNNGAAAGAGGAGAAGGGGAUGAAGGAGGCCAUUGUUGUUGUUGUUUUGGGAAAGGGAUGAUGGAGACCCAUCAAUGUUGUUUUGGGAAGAGAGCUAAGCGUGCUUCUGCCAAAGAAGACACGUGAACUCUUGUAAUUAAUGCAUUGAUCUUGCAAAUAUUGACUCAUUUUGAUCCGUCCGAUUCAAAAAUCGAACGGUCUUAAAAGUAGCACCUUAAAAAAUAAUAAUACAAAAUAUAUAUAAAUAAAUACACGAAAAACUUAAAUAUAUAAAUAUCUUAAUAAUCCAAACAGAUGGAAGUGAUUUAGGAUGGGGAGCCAUUUUAAAAGCACGACCUAAUAAAUAUAGUAAUAAAAAUGAAGAACAAAUUUGUGGCUAUCAAAGUGGCGCGUACAAAGAAAAAGGUAAUAUGAGCGCCAUAGACUAUAUCAAUUUUGUAAAACCUACUCAGUACUCCAUAUAUAUAUAUAUAUAUAUAUAAAACAUUUAAAAAUUCGGUACCCCUCAGGUUCAAAAUAAAUCGACAGCGCAGGUCAAAUUGUAUUCAUUAAGGUGGAAUGACGAAGCAGGCAUAAAAAUUAUACUGACUAGGGAUGAUAUCCGGGCUCUUGGCUGAAAUUUAUAAAAUAAGAGUUGGGUUUGGGUGAAAAAAAUAAAAUAAAAUAAAAAAGGAAGUUGGAUUAUUGUUAGCCUGAAUACUCUUUUUCUAUUGAAAUUAAAUUUAUCGAUGCUUCCUGAUAUUCUAAAAAUUUAUUUAUUUUUAGUUUACAGACAUAAUUUGUACAAACAUCUAACUUAAUAUUUUGCGACUUUCCUAUUAACAAAAUACGUAUAUACACGUAAUAAAAAUAUAUGUACAUCUUAUAAAAGUAUAUUUUGCGUAAUAAAAAUAUACAUAUAAGGUCACAAUACUGCCCCAAAAAAUAAAGUUAGAAACAAUGUGGAUGCGACUAUCAAAAGAUACAUAUUUGCGAUUUUGAUGUCAAAAAAUAUUUAAUUAUAUUCAAUUAAAAUAAUUUUAUAAAUGAAAAUAAAUUCCCUUUUUAUUAAAACUUGUAGAAAUAGAAACAGAAAUACCAAAUCUUAUUUUUAUUUAAUUUGUGAAAAUUAUUUAGGGCCAAGAAGCAUCGAAAAACUAAUUAAAGGAAAAAGAACGAGUCAAAAUUGGGUGUCAACACCAGGCAUCCACAACCUGCCUGGGAGCCCUCAAUUAAUUUUUGGCCUAAAACACACCUGAUCCCUAGACACAUCCACUAAACCGUGAGCUAUAGCACACCAAUUUGGCUCGAAAAAGGCACGUUCACACCAUUACGCCUGUUUGACCACCCAAACGGCCCCGCCAACCGUAACGGCCCACCCCUGGCCGAUCCACAAUAUGCGUGGGAGCCCUCGAUAGAUUUUUGGCCUAAAACAUAUAUGAGCCCCCGGCACACCCAAAAAAUCAUGUGAUAUAGUACACCGAUUUGGCCUAGAAAUAGGCUAUUCACGUCGUUCUCCCCAUUUGACUACCCAAAUAGCCCCGCAAACCCCAAUGACCCACCCCAGGCCGAUCCACAACUUGCCUAGGAGCCCUUGGUAGAUUUUUUGCCCAAAACACGAUUGAUCCCUGGGCACACCUAGAAAAUCGUGAGCUACACCAAUUUCGCCUAAAAAUAACCCGUUCGAGUUGUUUCGCCUGUUUGACCACCCAAACAGCCUCGCUGAAACCAGUGACCCACCCUUGGAUGAUCCACAACCAGAUUGGGAACACUUGGUAGAUUUUUGGCCCAAAACACGAUUGGGCCCUCGGUACACCAAGAAAACCGUGAGCUAUAGCGCAACGAUUUGGCCCCAAAAUAGCCCAUUCGAGCCAUUUCACCUGUUUGACCACCCAAACAGCCUUGCUGACCCCAACGGCCCACCCCUAGUUGAUCCACUACCUUCUAGUUAUACCUCGAUCAAUUUUCAGUCAAAAAUAUGCUUAGGCCUCGAGCACACCUUGAAAAGCGUGAGCGAACACCGAUUUGAUCAAAAAUGGCCCGUUUGCACUAUUUCAGUUGUUUAACCACCCAAAUAGCCCCGCUAACCCUAACGGCCCACCCCUGGAUGAGGCAGUCCACUGCCUGCUUCAAAGCCCAAUUCAAUUUUUGGCCCAAAACACGCCAGGCCCCAGGCACACUCUGAAAAAGUGUGAGUUAUAGCAUACCAAUUUAGCCGAAAAAUGACCCAUUUGCACUAUUUUUGCCCAUUUUACCAUCCAAAUGCCCUCAAUAACCCUAAUAGCCCACCCUUAGCUGAUCCACACUUGCCUUGGAGUCCCCAGUUAAUUUUUGGCCCAAAACACUUCCGAGCCACGGGUGUUUUACAAAAAUUUUAACUUUCGAGAGAGUCAUAACUUAAUUUUGAAAAGGAAUUAAGAAACCUUCGUACGAUACUUUAAACAAUCCAAAAUAGAAAAAUCGUCUAAGUUUUGAAGUUUUAGGUAAGCGAUUCCUAUUAAUAUUUUAGGAAUGUUUUUAAGGCACAAAAAAUGUCCUCUAAUUUACGGUUAUCUGGAUUGUUUGAAAACUAUCUUUGACUAACUUUGAAAAAAUUGACUUGUUGAAAAGUGAUCGAUUUUUAGCAAAGACUUGUGUAAAAUAGAUUUAGGUGACUUAGUAAGGAUUUAACUAAGUUUAAUCAAAACUAAUAAGCAAGUAAACACAUAAAAGGGGGAAGGGAGGAGAAAGUAAAAAGAUUUAGGCCAUUGGGCCUAAUAGACCUGUCCUAGUCUAAUUGGGCUUUCGACCCCUUUCACCUGUCCUAAUCUAGUUUUCGAGCCUUUGGCUCGAGUCUUUCUCCACCUGUAUUAAAUUUACAACUUUGGCUUCGAGGUCCCAAAUAAAUGAAUGAAUGAAUAAAUAAGUAAAUAAAAUAGAUAAAGGAAACAAUAAUAAAAUAAAAUAAAAUAACAAAUGAGAUUUUUGAGUCUCUUAACCGGUUCAAAUGUGGGACUUCAACCCAUUUUUUCCUCUUUCAACUCGUUGUAUCCAUGUGCGAUUUAACCGGCUUUGGGCUUGACUCAAAAAAUGGGCCUAAUUGGCCAUGAUAGAUAUGUAAAAAAGGCCGAGUCCAUGUAGGACUCAAAUGAUUUCCAUGCAAAGGAAAAAAAUGCAUUAAAGGUAUGGGAAAGGAAGAGUAAAGGAAACCAAAGCAUGCUCAACCAAAGUAGAAAGCUAGAAUGUCUAAUAAGUGAUCAACCGGAGGAGGCUAGUAGAUGCGAAGAAAAUUUAUACAUAUUAACUACAUAAGCAAAACAACAGGGAUCCAAACAAAUAGUCGCGGGACACCCAGAAGUAGUAAGGCACACACGUCAACUCGAACAACAGGCAUAAUCAAGAUAUGAGAAUUAAACUAACCAUUAGGCGAUCGACCGAGCCUUAUAAGUUCUAACUAAUCAUCAAACUGUUUAAAUUCUGAAACUAUGUCUAAAGCAGAAGACCCCACUAAUUCACAAAAGAAGAAAUGAUUCAUGAAAUCUCAUCUUUCUUCUUUUUGCUGUUAAAUCAACAAAGGCUAGUCAGCAUUCCACUAAUUGAUCGAUGUGGGCAUCUCCUGAAUAUUUUAGACAAAAUAUGAUUGUCCAUAAAUGCUAAAGGGAAGACUCAGGAUGCAUGUUGGUUCUUACGACAAAAAGCAACACCAAAAAUGUUGAAGUUGGAACUGUAGGACACAAAAAGGUGGAGAGAAAGAAGAUGCUAUGAUUACUAAUCAAAUAAAUUAAUGAAGUUUCAUCCUUUUUAUAAAGAUGACCAAGUAAAGUAUUAUUACAGCAUAUUACAACAAUCUAUCCCCUAGAAGCACACAGUAAUAUAAGACAUAAAUUCAGGAAAACUAAGGAGGCAAGCAACAAGAAAUAAGAAAAAAAAGAGAUAGAGAGAGUUAGAAAAAGCAUAUAAAGGAAAACCGAUACGUAAUUGACUAAAUAGAACGCCAUAACAUGGAUCUUCAAAAAAUAAAUGUUGAUUAACCAACAAGGAGAUAUACUCGUAAGGGCGAAACAUUAACACGAAAAUUGGCCGAUACCGAAGCAACAAAGGAAACUAGAAAAUGAAUCCAUUUCUAGACCAAUUUUUUUUAAAAAAAAUAUUGACAGGCCUAAAGGGGCAUUAUUAGAAACUUAAAAGGCAACCUUUUUGAGAAAGAGUCCUCUGUAUCAAAGUUGCAUUCAAGAAAAAACCAGUAGGAACUACUAAUGCGCAGCUAAAACUUCAAGCAUCAAAUAGUAAAUACUGAUGAACAACCAAAGCUUCUUUCUUGGACUCCAAAUACUAUAGAUACCGACUCAAAUAGUUAUGAUAGUAAGGGUCUUAGUGCCUAAGGCAACUACUGUAUGAUAAUCAAACCCGACAAAACAAGGGCCGAAAUGCAUUUAACAAUCCCAAACAAUCUAAAGUAGGACUUUGGCAGCAGUCUUUCGAAAGAUAGAGACAGACCAUAGUGAUGUUCUACUCCGUCCUUCAGCCUUGCUUUCGAGAGCAAAAUGAAUAUGACUUCAUCCCUCUUUUCUUGAUGACAUUGACCAAGAAAAAGAAAUCAGGGGGAAUCCUCACUCCAAACAUAAACUACGCGUAUAGCAUAAUGGGAAUAAAAGUAGAGAAAUUCUCCUCAAACUGACCCAUUCAAGUAUCCGUCAAUUCAAUAGAACACUAGCAAAUUUACUUUAUAAUCAUAACACACAAAUCGAAAGCAAACAGAAAUCUAAAUUUCAGAUUUUUGAUAUCAAAAAGUGCGACCAACAAACAAAAAAUGGCAAGGUAGACAACCUCAGAUGUAACAACGAAUCAAAACGACUAUCAGCGCGAGACUAUCAAACGCAUUAGAGAAUGAAACUUUAGCUAUGAAACCAGCUCUGAAAAACCAUCGUUAGCCCGAAACUACUAAAUAAAUUCAAAGCAUGAAACGUUAUUAUGAUAUUAGCUAUAACAAAACAUCGUUAGCCCGAAACUACCAAACAAAUUCAAAGCAUGAAACUUUAUUAUGAAACUAACUGUAACAAGACGUCGUUAGCCCAAAACUACAAAACGAAUUAAAAACAUGAAACUUUAUUAUGAAACUCGCUAUAACAAGACAUUUUAGCCCCAAACUAUUAAACAAAGUUAAAGCAUGAAAUUUUACUGUGAAACCAGCUUAUUCAAAUCUCAACCAGUAUACAAAAUGAGAGUAUUCGAUCAAAAAUCCAUUAACAAACGUUGUUCAGACCACAUAACAUGCCAUAAAUCAAAAGAAAGAACAUAGAUUAAAAUAGUGGAUUUAAAAGUAUUUUGGUGAAGAACAUGUCUUUAACAGUACUAAGAAGUAACAUCGUACACAUUGAUUCAAAUAUCGACAUGACGAUAACUAUCACGAACGAAACCUACGGCUAUCAAAGCCAUCUACAAGCAAACAACCCAACAUACAAUAUUACUAAGGACUUACUCACAACUACAGAAGGUCGAGAUGAAGCAGAAGCAAUCGAAAGCUCAAUGGAAUGGGAUAUUACCUGUUCGGGAGCAGCAAAAUGGAACCUCGAUCUCCUUUGGACUUCACUACCACAGGAAAAUUCAAUGCCGCUAUGAAAGUCUCGACUAGUCGAUUGCCUUCCCUAAAAAUUUUACUGAUGGAAAUUCUCGCCUAUUCUUGCGACCAAUUUUUUUCCCUUUUGUUUGGGUGUGUAUUUCUGUUUUGUAAAAAAAAUUUCCCAACCCUGAAAUUAGUACCAAGUGGGUUCUUAUGUAGAAGACAGAAUUGGGGGUAUUUUAGGGAUUUAAAAAUAGGAUAUUUUGAAUUUGAUUUUCGAAAAUCCCUCCACAGCUUGGGUUUCAUCAAUAAUUUGUACCAGUUUUUGGAUUUCAUGAGAGAAAUUGAAAUGGGCGGGCCAAUACCAUUUGGGAAAAAUGAAUUGUACUCCAGGACCAAUGAAUAUCAUCCAACUACGUACGAAAUCGUACCAAUUAUCCUGAGAUUCGCAAAAUUAUCCGUUGGAGACGACACCUAGACUUGUUCUAGAAGAUUUUAGGACCUUCUUUGUCCUACUAUCGCAUGAGACGCGCGUGGUGAAGGGUAGGGUCAGAUUGUAGAUGGUUUUCUCGAUUUUGGGUUGAGUUUGGCCUUAUUGUGGUUGUUUCUGGGUUGAUACAAUUUUAGUUUUGGUUAUGGUGUUAUCGUGAUUUUGCUGUUGUUCUCGUGUGUUGCUGUUCGGCUGUGUUGAAGAAGGAGGAAAAAAGGAGUGGGCCUAUCAGUUGUAGAAUUGUUG